rnacentral:rRNA from 1 species
GGGGAAUAUUGGACAAUGGGGGGAACCCUGAUCCAGCCAUGCCGCGUGUGUGAAGAAGGCCUUAUGGUUGUAAAGCACUUUAAGCGAGGAGGAGGCUACUUUGGUUAAUAUCUACGGAGAGUGGACGUUACUCGCAGAAUAAGCACCGGCUAACUCUGUGCCAGCAGCCGCGGUAAUACAGAGGGUGCGAGCGUUAAUCGGAUUUACUGGGCGUAAAGCGUGCGUAGGCGGCUUUUUAAGUCGGAUGUGAAAUCCCCGAGCUUAACUUGGGAAUUGCAUUCGAUACUGGGAAGCUAGAGUAUGGGAGAGGAUGGUAGAAUUCCAGGUGUAGCGGUGAAAUGCGUAGAGAUCUGGAGGAAUACCGAUGGCGAAGGCAGCCAUCUGGCCUAAUACUGACGCUGAGGUACGAAAGCAUGGGGAGCAAAC